AAAAUAUCAAUGGGUUGAGUAUGUCUGAUACAAUAUAUUUGAACUUGCCUUGUAGGCCUCCACCAUCAUGUUUUCCAUCACUUUAAUCAAUCAUUUUGACCUAAGUAUAUUGAUUACCACCAUGGUAUUGGUUCCUUCAUAUACCUUGCUUGGAUUUAAAACUUUUUUGGAAGUGAGAGACCAGGAGCACUACAGAGAAUUUCCAGAGGCAAAUUUUGAAUUGAGUGCCACUGAUUUUCUAGUCUGCUUCAUAAUGCAUGGAACUAAAAUGUGGAAAGAAAAGAAUGCGAAAAGAUCCUGUUUUCAG
rnacentral:lncRNA from 1 species